rnacentral:rRNA from 1 species
GACGAGCGCUGACGGUGUGCUUUAGACAUGCAAGUCGAACGAGAAAGCCCUUCGGGGUUAGUAAAGUGGCGAACGGGUGAGUAACACGUGGGCAAUCUGCCCCUCGCAGGGGGACAACCGGAGGAAACUCCGGCUAAUACCCCGUAAGUUCAAAGGGAGGCAUCUCUCUUCGAAGAAAGGUAGCUUCGGCCAUCCGGCGAGGGAUGAGCCCGCGGUGCAUUAGCUAGUUGGUGGGGUAACGCCUACCAAGGCGACGAUGCAUAGCUGGUCUGAGAGGAUGAUCAGCCACACUGGGACUGAGACACGGCCCAGACUCCUACGGGAGGCAGCAGUCGGGAAUCUUGCGCAAUGGGCGAAAGCCUGACGCAGCAACACCGUGUGUGUGAGGAAGGCCC